GCCGUGGUAGCUCAGUGGUAGAGCACACCCUUGGUAAGGGUGAGGUCGAGAGUUCAAUCCUCUUCUACGGCACCA
rnacentral:tRNA from 1 species